rnacentral:lncRNA from 1 species
UUCUGGACCUCAGUGGGCACGGCACCAAGACCUACUGCUUCUGGUCACAAACCUCCAGAUGGAUCUACCAAAAUGAUACCUCACAGCUCCAUCACUUCAUUGCCCUAAAUCUGGCAUGUGGGAGGAAGGAACCAGAGCAGAGAGAGAAGGAAUGCAAGAGGUGCCAGAGUUGAGGUAAGAAACAAAAGGACAGGUGGCAGAAACGAUCCUGUGAGCCUGGUUUUGUGCACACACCUCUGAUAUGUUCAGGUUUAAACAUCUGCCCAUGUGGUGAGGUACUCCAGUGAUG